GGCUCAGGAUGAACGCUGGCGGCAUGCCUAAUACAUAGCAAGUCGAACGAGAGACCUUCGGGUCGUCUAGUGGCGAACGGGUGAGGUAACACUAGGGAACCUGCCCGCGCACCGGGAAUACGCUACUGGAAACGGAGAACAAAUCCCGAUGUACAGGAAGGAGGCAUCUUCUUUCUGUGAAACAUCCUUUAGGGGGAUGGGGCGCGGAUGGACCUGCGGUGCAUUAGUUGGUUGGCGGGGUAAAGGCCCACCAAGACGAUGAUGCAUAGCCGGCCUGAGAGGGCGGACGGCCACAUUGGGACUGAGACACGGCCCAGACUCCUGCGGGAGGCAGCAGUAGGGAAUUUUCGUCAAUGGGCGCAAGCCUGAACGAGCGAUGCCGCGUGAGUGAAGAAGGCCUUCGGGUCGUAAAGCUCUGCUGCGGGGGAAAAAAGGCAGCAUCAGGAAAUGGGUGCUGACUGAUGGUGCCCCGCCAGAAAGUCACGGCUAACUACGUG
rnacentral:rRNA from 1 species